CCUACGGGAGGCAGCAGUGGGGAAUUUUGGACAAUGGGCGCAAGCCUGAUCCAGCAAUGCCGCGUGCAGGAUGAAGGCCUUCGGGUUGUAAACUGCUUUUGUACGGAACGAAAAAGUCUGCCCUAAUACGGUGGGCCCAUGACGGUACCGUAAGAAUAAGCACCGGCUAACUACGUGCCAGCAGCCGCGGUAAUACGUAGGGUGCGAGCGUUAAUCGGAAUUACUGGGCGUAAAGCGUGCGCAGGCGGUUAUAUAAGACAGAUGUGAAAUCCCCGGGCUCAACCUGGGACCUGCAUUUGUGACUGUAUAGCUAGAGUACGGUAGAGGGGGAUGGAAUUCCGCGUGUAGCAGUGAAAUGCGUAGAUAUGCGGAGGAACACCGAUGGCGAAGGCAAUCCCCUGGACCUGUACUGACGCUCAUGCACGAAAGCGUGGGGAGCAAACAGGAUUAGAUACCCUGGUAGUCCACGCCCUAAACGAUGUCAACUGGUUGUUGGGUCUUCACUGACUCAGUAACGAAGCUAACGCGUGAAGUUGACCGCCUGGGGGAGGUAACGGUCCGCGAGGUUAGUAAACGUUAAAGGUUAAGUUAGACGGCGNGAGAGNGCGACGGACGACGACGAGGGAGGAGG
rnacentral:rRNA from 1 species